rnacentral:rRNA from 1 species
UACCAGCACCCCGAGUGGUCGGGACGAUUAUUGGGCCUAAAGCAUCCGUAGCCGGCCUUACAAGUCCUCCGUUAAAUCCACCUGCUUAACAGAUGGGCUGCGGAGGAUACUAUGGAGCUAGGAGGCGGGAGAGGCAAGCGGUACUUAGUGGGUAGGGGUAAAAUCCGUUGAUCCAUUGAAGACCACCAGUGGCGAAGGCGGCUUGCCAGAACGCACUCGACGGUGAGGGAUGAAAGCUGGGGGAGCAAACCGG